rnacentral:rRNA from 1 species
UAAGCGUGCGCAGGCGGUUAUGUAAGACAGAUGUGAAAUCCCCGGGCUCAACCUGGGAACUGCAUUAGUGACUGCAUAGCUGGAGUACGGCAGAGGGGGAUGGAAUUCCGCGUGUAGCAGUGAAAUGCGUAGAUAUGCGGAGGAACACCGAUGGCGAAGGCAAUCCCCUGGGCCUGUACUGACGCUCAUGCACGAAAGCGUGGGGAGCAAACAGGAUUAGAUACCCCUGU